UUAGAAAAAUAGGACUUGAACCUACACCAGGGAAAUCAAAACUCCCCAUACUCCCAUUAUACUACAUCCUA
rnacentral:tRNA from 1 species